AGGUGCGAUCAUACCAGGACUAAUGCACCGGAUCCCAUCAGAACUCCGCAGUGAAGCGUGCUUGGGCAAGAGUAGUACUAGGAUGGGUCACCUCCUGGGAAGUCCUCGUGUUGCACCUC
rnacentral:rRNA from 2 species